UCUUAUUUCUGAUCCUUGUGUUAUCGUACCUAUGGAUCAGCGGGAUAGACUUGUAAUCUCGACUCGGGUAUCUCUCCUUAUUCUCGGCGAGUCAGGCUCGGGUUAAAAUUGGAAACAUGCUGUACCGUAAACAAUGACAAAUACCUGGAAAUAUUGAUGUAUCGCUGGCCACACGUCGCCGCGAUGCCGGCUACGAAAUAUCUUGAUCGGCUGCCGGGAAGUGUGUAAACAUCGAUAUGUGCUCCAUGUCCUUUAAGACAUGGUUACGACUCGGUCACGGACGAGCCAAUCACAGUGCGGCUAAAUUAUCAACGUAUCAAAUUAUCAGACGUUUCGCAUUUGUUUGCCGCAGUACUUCGCACUACUCGCAGUCGAGUGAGUUACAUAAUUAAUAGAGAUUGCUCGUGAAAGCAAAGAAUCGGGAAAGUUUGGUCAUUCUCAAUUGAGGACUUCCUAACGCGUCGACAAAAUGGCGACAAGUAAUUAUCUAAGUUCGCUCGAGUGAUGAGGACGUUCUAGCGUUCAAGUUGGCGGGUGUUAAACACGAGCAAACGUCUGUUUCAUCUUCAGUCGACAUAAUUCGUACAUACUCUAAUCAUAUCCACGUGUAUA